CCUACGGGAGACAGCAGUAGGGAAUCUUCCACAAUGGGCGCAAGCCUGAUGGAGCAACACCGCGUGAGUGAAGAAGGGUUUCGGCUCGUAAAGCUCUGUUGUUGGAGAAGAACGUGCGUGAGAGUAACUGCUCACGCAGUGACGGUAUCCAACCAGAAAGUCACGGCUAACUACGUGCCAGCAGCCGCGGUAAUACGUAGGCGGCAAGCGUUAUCCGGUUUUAUUGGGCGUAAAGGGAGCGCAGGCGGUUGCUUAGGUCUGAUGUGAAAGCCUUCGGCUUAACCGAAGAAGUGCAUCGGAAACCGGGCAACUUGAGUGCAGAAGAGGACAGUGGAACUCCAUGUGUAGCGGUGGAAUGCGUAGAUAUAUGGAAGAACACCAGUGGCGAAGGCGGCUGUCUGGUCUGCAACUGACGCUGAGGCUCGAAAGCAUGGGUAGCGAACAGGAUUAGAUACCCCAGUAGUC
rnacentral:rRNA from 1 species